UACGGGGGGUGCGAGCGUUGUCCGGAAUCACUGGGCGUAAAGGGCGCGUAGGUGGUUUGAUAAGGGUGUGGUGAAAGUCCGGGGCUCAACCCCGGAUCUGCCGUGCCGACUGUCAAACUCGAGGACUGUAGAGGCAGACGGAAUUCCGGGUGUAGCGGUGGAAUGCGUAGAGAUCCGGAGGAAGACCGGUGGCGAAGGCGGUCUGCUGGGCAGUUGCUGACACUGAGGCGCGACAGCGUGGGGAGCAAACAGG
rnacentral:rRNA from 1 species